ACAGCAGCCGCCGCGGGAAUACGUAGGGUGCAAGCGUUAAUCGGAAUUACUGGGCGUAAAGCGUGCGCAGGCGGUUUUGUAAGACAGAGGUGAAAUCCCCGGGCUCAACCUGGGAACUGCCUUUGUGACUGCAAGGCUAGAGUACGGCAGAGGGGGAUGGAAUUCCGCGUGUAGCAGUGAAAUGCGUAGAUAUGCGGAGGAACACCGAUGGCGAAGGCAAUCCCCUGGGCCUGUACUGACGCUCAUGCACGAAAGCGUGGGGAGCAAACAGGAUUAGAUACCCCUGUAGUCCCUGUCUCUUAUAC
rnacentral:rRNA from 1 species